GACGAACCGUGCGAACGUUAUUCGGAAUCACUGGGCUUAAAGCGCGUGUAGGCGGGCCGCCACGUCGGGCGCUGAAAUCCCCCGGCUCAACCGGGGAACGGGCACCGAUACGAGCGGCCUGGAGGGGAGUAGGGGGACCUGGAACUUCCGGUGGAGCGGUGAAAUGCGUAGAUAUCUGAAGGAACAUCAGUGGCGAAAGCGACUUCCUGGACCAGAACUGACGCUCAGGCACGAAAGCGUGGGGAGCAAACAGG
rnacentral:rRNA from 1 species